rnacentral:rRNA from 1 species
GACGAACGCUGGCGGCGUGCCUAAUACAUGCAAGUAGAACGCUGAAGAGAGGAGCUUGCUCUUCUUGGUUGAGUUGCGAACGGGUGAGUAACGCGUAGGUAACCUGCCUUGUAGCGGGGGAUAACUAUUGGAAACGAUAGCUAAUACCGCAUAACAAUGGAUGACACAUGUCAUUUAUUUGAAAGGGGCAAUUGCUCCACUACAAGAUGGACCUGCGUUGUAUUAGCUAGUAGGUGAGGUAAUGGCUCACCUAGGCGACGAUACAUAGCCGACCUGAGAGGGUGAUCGGCCACACUGGGACUGAGACACGGCCCAGACUCCUACGGGAGGCAGCAGUAGGGAAUCUUCGGCAAUGGGGGCAACCCUGACCGAGCAACGCCGCGUGAGUGAAGAAGGUUUUCGGAUCGUAAAGCUCUGUUGUAAGUCAAGAACGGGUGUGAGAGUGGAAAGUUCACACUGUGACGGUAGCUUACCAGAAAGGGACGGCUAACUACGUG